rnacentral:rRNA from 1 species
CGUAGGCGGUAUGAUAAGUCAGAUGUGAAAGCCCGGGGCUCAACCCCGGAAGUGCAUUUGAAACUGUUGUGCUUGAGUAUGGUAGAGGGAAGUGGAAUUCCUGGUGUAGCGGUGAAAUGCGUAGAUAUCAGGAGGAACACCGGUGGCGAAGGCGACUUCCUGGACCAAUACUGACGCUGAGGCGCGAAGGUGGUGGGGAGACAAAACA